GAUUUGGGUGACCUUGACCUUAUCUUCAAGGUGACUGUGACACUUUGACCGCUUUUCAAACUGAUGUAAACACGAUAUCUCAUAAAACAUUGCACCCAAUGUAUUCCAUUAUGUCGACAGCCUGCAAUGGGUGAUUAUUCAGUGGCUGGCAUGUCAGUGGA